rnacentral:misc_RNA from 1 species
UGGUGAUAACCGGGUGUUAUACUGCAAAUAGCCUGAAAUACUGUAGGGCAACCUUCCAUCGGCGACAUAGGCACAAGCCUAGUCCAUCUAUGAAAAGAACCGCUAAGAAAUACACUUCGACCCCCAUGAGGCCACACAAACCGCAUUAAUACUGUGCCCGCAACUCCACCACCAGCUUCUCUGGCAGAAUCCAUACCCGGUACAAACAUUAUUUCUCCCCAAUUUUAUAAAUAAUUUCCCAAAAAUCCCUUCCAAGUAAGCUCCUUCAGUUCAUUCACUACACACAAAAUUGUACCGCUAGAAACCCUAGAAACCAAUCGAAGAAGCGAGUCUUAGCUCCCAAAUUAGGAAUAUGAAAAUCUAAUGAAAAAUGGGCGUGAACUUG